AUGAGCCCGUCGACGGCGCCUGUGCAGCAGCGCAGGGGGCCCUCGCGCCACGCGACGGUGCCCAGGGCCGCCACAACGCGACCGGCGAUAAGGAUCAUCCACAUCAUCGCGCCGGAGAUCAUCAAGACCGACGCCGCCAACUUCCGGGACCUCGUGCAGCGCCUCACCGGGAGGCACCACCACCAGACCGCCGAUGCCAGGGCGGACGACGAUGACAACAGCAAGGCAGUGACGGAGAACGGGAGGAGGAAGAAGAUCAAGUGCGAGGUGGUGAACGUGGAGGAAGGAGGGUUCGGCUGCGGCGUCGGCGGUGAUCUCGAUUUCAGCGAGCUGUGGAUGGAUCUCAACCCCGGGGGAUUCCUGAGCUUCUUGGAGGAGGACGUCUUCCAGGGGAUGAUAGCUCCGGAUUUGCUGCAGCAGCCUCAGGGGGCACCGACACCGAGGAUGGAUUUGGUUGGCGAAAUGUGCGCCUCCUGUCUAGCUUAG
rnacentral:rRNA from 1 species